GUACGCGGGCUACAGUGUUCAUGGCAUGAGCAUACUUGCUUGUCCUAAAGAUGACAAAGAUGCGGAAGAUUCGAACCCAGGUCAUGUUUGGAAUUGUGUUUUGCAGCAAGUAGUUGUCAAUAAAGAAU
rnacentral:rRNA from 10 species